rnacentral:rRNA from 1 species
GACGUAGGGGGCGAGCGUUAUCCGGAUUCACUGGGCGUAAAGGGCGCGUAGGCGGUUACGUAAGUCCGAUGUGAAAAGUCACGGCUCAACUGUGAUCGUGCAUCGGAUACUUCGUUGACUUGAGGUCGGUAGAGGCAAGUGGAACUAGCGGUGUAGCGGUGAAAUGCGCAGAUAUCGCUAGGAACGCCGGUGGCGAAGGCGACUUCCUGGCCUGUUCUUGACGCUGAGGCGCGAAAGCUAGGGGAGCAAACGGG